UGUUUUUAAAACUUAAACUUCAAAUAAAAAUUGUAAACUUCAAAACAUAUGCAAAUUUUUAACAAAGAACAUAGUGAUUUACCUCUAUUUUCAUCAAAAUGCAGGCAAUGGCCCAGGUGUUCUUUGUAAAAUUAUUUACAAAACACUGUAUAGUCUCACAAAUGUCACUUUUUAUUUAUGCCACUACAAAAAAACAUGAUAUAAAUGAUGCAUGAUGUAAAACAUGAUGUAAAAAACUUGUGUAGAUCCUCCUCUAUGUUAGUCCAUGUGUAAUUUUUCCAUAAUUCUUUGUUUUUUGCAGCAUUUUUGUUAGUGUAACUGCAGAUUGUGCUGACAGUGUCUAUGGCAAAAAAAAAAAAAAAAAACUGAAAAUGCCUCAACAUGAACCCCUGGUGGUCUCUGAGGGUGAAACCUGCUAACUGCUGCAGCUCUGUCAGCUUCAGUCUCCCAUGCAGAGCUCGGAGCGCAUGUGUGGCUCUGCACCCUUAGCAGCGUUGCUAACUCCUCAGUAAGGAAAGCCUGCUUCAUGUCAGAGUCUCUAAACUCCAGAAGAAGUCGAUAAAAGUCCCUUUCUUUCUAAAAAAAAAGUCGUUAGGGGGUCUGAAAAGUCAUUGAAUCUAACAACAAAGUCGCUAGGUUUGCAACUACGUGUCCCAGACUGCAUCCCUGCUGAGAGUCCCUCCCUCCCUUCUCAUGUUGCAGGAAGAACGUAAGCACCCGCCCCUUGUCAAUCAGUCACCAUAUAAUUUUGGAUUGGUUGUUGUGGUGAAGUUUUCCACCAAUAGGAGAGAUGUUGUGGUGUGUUUUUUUUUUCUUUUGGCAAGCCUUUUCCGCCUGUAAGACCUGUCGCUAAUGUCUGCAUGCUAUGUUUUCCUGUCUCAUACAGCGCGAUCGAGCGCCGAACGUGAUCAAAAUAAGCAGAAAAAAAGUAUCGCGGACAUAAUUUAUCAUAAUUCUGGUUUUAUUUGGCCUAUCAACACAAUUUAAAAACUGGUAUAUAGGUUGAGGUCCUCACUUUUGAGAUAAGUUGAAACGGAGAGUCAACGAGGCUCCGUCUUGCAGCUACAUCCGGUUAAAUAUGUCAUGUGACUUCAACGCACACACACACACACGCACACACACACACACACACACACACACAGACACACACACACACACACACACUCAGAGUCUGGUUUUUAGCACCUGCAAAAACAUGCUAUUUACAUAUUUGACAAGAAUGCAGAGGCUCCUUUUGCCCCUGAAAAAAAUCAAAUUUCAAACACAACUUGACUGGUCAUUUCUCCAAAAGACAACCAUGAAGCUCCAUCCAAACCUGAAGCAGGCAGUUGGUGCAUGUGUACAGUAACCUGAGGGGAGUGAGGUGACUGCUUCUGAGGAGAACAUGAGCAGUGAAGAUUCACCUUAGAGCUAGAACAGAGACGUGCACAUGAUUAUACAGGGGCAGGGGCUCAAGUUUUUUCCAGUUGUUUAUACAAUAUGGAAAUUAAUGUGAAAUUAAAAAACAAAGUAUUAAUAGAAAGGUAAUGACUGAAUGACUAGAAAGGUAAUGACUGUCCUGAGUAGGUGACAGUGAUAUCCAAUAGGCUGAUAUCCAAUAGGCUCAAGAGGCUGGCUGUGGCAAGUGUAAGUGAAAGCAACACGCACUGGCAGGAAGAACAGCAAACGCCGAUGAAGGAAAAGGGUCUUUGCAGUGAUGGGCGUUACCAGAGAGGGCGAUGGCCAGAGGACACAAAUGGGACGGGGAGGCAGCGCGUUGGGGGGGGGACGCGACACAGCUCGGGCCCGCCAGUGCCCCAACGGGGUCCUAGUUAGGGCCCGAGCCAGCUGCAGAGCAGCCGGGCGUAGGCCCUAUUAUUCCCCAAGUGGUUUUUCUUUGUUUCUUUCUUUCUUUCUUUCUUUCUUCUUUUUCCUCCCCUUUGAACUGGAAAAUGGCCCACUUCCCACUGGCGAAAACUCAUGAAAUUUGGCAGGACGACCGGGCCUGGUGAAAAAUUCGAUAUUCUGAAGUCGCCCAAACAAUAAAAUGCAAAAUGGCUCCAUAGCGCCCCCUAAGGUGGAAAUUCACACUAUUGACUGUCACGCCUGUACGCUUUGUCAUAUUGACACAAAAAUUGACACACAUAUGUAUCUCAAUAAGAUCUACAAAAAAGUCAGUGCGGCCGUAUCUGUCAAAAUUACGGUUAAAGGGUUAUUUCGCAUUUUUUGCCGAUCCGCACACAUUGGAAUUUCGCUAACUCCUCCGAAGGCUUUCGUUCCACCGGCACCACAUUUGCUCAGGCCAAUCUACACCCCGUGGCCAUUAAAAGUUAUCAAAAUCAUGACGCUGCACCCCAAGGUUUAGGUUCUAGGGGGCGCCAAAGAUAACACUAAAAUCCACAUAUUUAAAAGUCUUAUAACUUUUUAUUUUUGUCCUCACUGGCCUCCAAGUUUUCUAGGAUGAUGCAAUGUCCAGCCAUCAACACAUUUGUGAAGGAAUUUUUACUCCCCAAAAGAGCGCCCCCCCAUGGCAGGAGAAAAAAGUCCAUUUUUUCUUGUCCCCUAAGGUGAAAAUACACAUUGUUGAGUGUCACGCCUAUACGCUUUGUCAAAAUGACACAAAAAUUGACACACACAUGUAACUCAAUAAGAUCUACAAAAAAGUCAGUGCGCGCGUAUCUGUCAAAUGUACAGUUAAAGGGUUAUUCCGCAUUUUUUGCCGAUACGCACACAUUGGAAUUUCGCUAACUCCUCCAAAGGCUUUCGUUCCACCAACACCACAUUUGCUCAGGCCAAUCUACACCCCAUGGCCAUUAAAAGUUAUUCAAAUCAUGAUGCUGCACCCCAUGGUUUAGGUUCUAGGGGGCGCCAAAGAUAACCCAAAAAUCCACAUUCUUAAAUGUUUUAUAACUUUUUAUUUCUGUCCUCACUGGCCUCCAAGUUUUCUAGGAUGAUGCAAUGUCCAGCCAUCAACACAUUUGUGAAGGAAUUUUUACUCCCCAAAAGAGCGCCCCCCCAUGGUAGGAGAAAAAAGGCAAUUUUUUCUUGUCCCCUUACAUAAAAAUACACAUUGUUGAGUGUCACGCCUGAACGCUUUGUCAUAUUGACACAAAAUUUGACAAUCAUGUGUAUCUCAAUUAGAUCUACGAAAAAGUCAAAGAGCGCGUAUCUGUAUAAUGUACGGUUAAAGGGCUAUUUUGCAUUUUUUGCCGAUUCGCACACAUUGGAAUGUGGCUAUCUCCUCCUAAGGCUUUCGUCCCACCGAUACCAAAUUUGCUCAGGGCUAUCUACACCCCAUGCCCAUUCAAAGUUGUAAAAAUCAUGACGCUGCACCCCACGGUUUACGUUCUAGGGGGCGCCAAAGAUGACCCAAAAAUCCACAUUCUUAAAAGUCAUUUUGGCCACUGCAGGAGUACAGAGUACUGCAGUUCUAGGGGGCGCCAAAGAUGACCCAAAAAUCCACAUUCUUAAAAGUCUUUUUGGCCACUGCAGGAGUACAGAGUACUGCAGGAUACACACACAUAUACACACACGCCAACAUACACACACACACACACACACACACACACACACACACACAGACACACACACACACUCAGAGUCUGUUUUUUAGCACCUGCAAAAACAUGCUGUUUACAUAUUUGACAAGAAUGCAGAGGCUUCCUUUUGCCCCUGAAAAAAAUCAAAUUUCAAACACAACUUGACUGGUCAUUUCUCCAAAAGACAACCAUGAAGCUCCAUUUCAAACCUGAAGCAGAUAGUUGGUGCAUGUGUACAGUAACCUGAGGGGAGUGAGGUGACUAUUUCUGAGGAGAACAUGAGCAGUGAAGAUUCACCUUGGAGCUAGAACAGGGACGUGCACAUGAUUAUACAGGGGCAGGGGCUCAAGUUUUUUCCAGUCAUUUAUACAAUAUGGAAAUUAAUGUGAAAUUAAACCACAAAUAUGUGUGAUGAACUGUUUUUAAAACUUAAACUUCAAAUAAAAAUUGUAAACUUCAAAACAUAUGCAAAUUUUUAACAAAGAACAUAGUAAUUUACCUCUAUUUACAUCAAAAUGCAGGCAAUGGCCCAGGCAUUCUUUGUAAAAUUAUUUACAAAACACUGUAUAGUCUCACAAAUGUCACUUUUUAUUUAUGCCACUACAAAAAAACAUGAUGUAAAU